UGGCUCUUGCGUCUCACUUGUUGGCAAAUGUGAAGAUGGUGGGUUAUGACUUACGUGCAGCUGUGGUGUUUGGCUUUGUGUUUGCUGUUUUGGAACUGAGGCUUGCGAGUUGACUGGUGUCUUUUGAUGCUGUGAAGAAGAAGAAGAAUUAACAUUAUUGAGGUUGGCUGGAGGUGUACUGGUCGAAGCGGCAUUUAAGGGUUCGUUUUGAGGGUUGUGAGACGGCGUUUUUGCUUUCGGCGAAUGGGUAAGCGACAUAUCGUAUAUCUCAGAAUCAAAACGGGCUGGAGGAAUUCCUUGGGUGUUUCGGCCACUGGUUCUUUUCUUCGUCUGAUUGUCGGACAUAAAAACAGCAAAGACGUAACACUUUCGACGAUUUCACAAACAAAUGAAUAAAUAAAGAAUAAAGAUGUUCCUUUGUCACCGAUCCAGAAUAAACUUCACCCACAACCGGCAGAUUCCAAAUAAAAACACAAGGCUUAAAUUCCGUUUGGCAAAUUAAAA